rnacentral:rRNA from 1 species
GAUGAACGCUGGCGGCGUGCCUAAUACAUGCAAGUCGAGCGAACGGACGAGAAGCUUGCUUCUCUGAUGUUAGCGGCGGACGGGUGAGUAACACGUGGAUAACCUACCUAUAAGACUGGGAUAACUUCGGGGAACCGGAGCUAAUACCGGAUAAUAUUUUGAACCGCAUGGUUCAAAAGUGAAAGACGGUCUUGCUGUCACUUAUAGAUGGAUCCGCGCUGCAUUAGCUAGUUGGUAAGGUAACGGCUUACCGAGGCAACGAUGCAUAGCCGACCUGAGAGGGUGAUCGGCCACACUGGAACUGAGACACGGUCCAGACUCCUACGGGAGGCAGCAGUAGGGAAUCUUCCGCAAUGGGCGAAAGCCUGACGGAGCAACGCCGCGUGAGUGAUGAAGGUCUUCGGAUCGUAAAACUCUGUUAUUAGGGAAGAACAUAUGUGUAAGUAACUGUGCACAUCUUGACGGUACCUAAUCAGAAAGCCACGGCUAACUACGUG